rnacentral:rRNA from 1 species
UACGUAGGGGGCAAGCGUUGUCCGGAAUCAUUGGGCGUAAAGAGCGCGUAGGCGGCCCUGUAAGUCCGCUGUGAAAGUCAAGGGCUCAACCCUUGAAUGCCGGUGGAUACUGCAGGGCUAGAGUCCGGAAGAGGCGAGUGGAAUUCCUGGUGUAGCGGUGAAAUGCGCAGAUAUCAGGAGGAACACCGGUGGCAAAGGCGGUUCUCUGGGCCUUACCUGACGCUGAGGAGCGAAAGCGUGGGGAGCAAACAGG